rnacentral:tRNA from 1 species
UUGGAUCACCUCCUAACAGGGAGACAAACAACGAUUUUGGUGUCUGAGUUAUUUAUUCUUAGGCCAAAAUCCUGUCGCUUAGGUCGAUCGGUACCUCAACUUUUGAAGCUAAGAGAGUUCCAGCAAUGGUUAUCUGCUUAGUGGAGAUUUUUAGUUCCUAAACUUUGUCUAGUUCACAACCCAUUUGGGAUGAGACUCCUGGGCCAUUAGCUCAGGUGGUUAGAGCGCACCCCUGGUAAGGGUGAGGUCCCUGGUUCAAGUCCAGGAUGGCCCAUUCGGUGUAGGGGGUUUAGCUCAGUUGGUAGAGCGCCUGCUUUGCAAGCAGGAUGUCAGGAGUUCGAGUCUCCUAACCUCCACUGACUACCAAAAUCCCCAUCUCCAAAACCUGGAGUAUGAACUCGUAUGGAUUGUGAUUUAGAUUUGUCCGCUAGAUGACCCUAGCUUCUUGUCAUUUUAAGGCAUGGAAAUAAUUCCAUGAUUUGAUUGAUAGGAUGCUGGGCUCGAUGCAAUGUAUUGAGAGAUCAAUGCAUUGUUUUGAUGUCUAGCCGAACCUUGACAACUGCAUAGUUUAAGUCUGGAAAGAAUAAAGCAUCUUUAUAGAUGCAUCAUUUUUUCGUGUUAACGCAUGAAGGAGUGAUGUUAAUUCUAAAGCAAGAGCCGAGACUCCAGUAUGUUCUUUCAAAUGUGUCGAGCAUUUGAGAGUUUGAUUUUAAUUUCUAAUUUUAGAUUCUAAUUUUAGAAAUUAGAAGAAUCUGUUUCAACAACAGCAAGCGUGCUGGAGAUACAUUGGUCAAGCUACAAAGGGCUCACGGCGGAUACCUUGGCACACAGAGGCGAUGAAGGA